GGGUUUGCUGUCACGUAGGCUGCCGCUAAUAACUAAUAACAAAGAUGGCACAGGCUCCUCGCAGUGGACCAAUGGGGAAGUGAUCAUCUGUCCGAACGCCACCUCUGGGGGAGACGCCCGCUGCAAGCUGUGGUCUAAUCUCCCGUCUGGAUUCAGCUGUGUUCUCCGUGAACAGACUGAACUUUAAAUCAGAGACCUGCCCCGCACCUGACGAGCAGCCCCCGCUCCUGUUAGUUUUAAUAAUUGCUUUGAACUUUCCCACUACCUGUCUCGCCUCGAAUUCUGGAUCCAACAUUCUGAGAUCAUUACAAAAACAUGCCAGAGGAGGA